GCCCCGGGUAUUCCUACCUAGGGCUUCGCCGCACCGGCCAUCGCUCCCCCUCUCCACCUUGUGCACGUGCGCCUGUCACCGGUCCUGCGUGCCACGGCUGGCCCGAGCGUCGCCACGCUCGCCCCGCCCGCGCACGACGGCCCAGCCUUCCACGACGCCCCUCCACGCCUCUAAUCCGUCUCAACGCGGCAUCUGUUUCGACAAC
rnacentral:lncRNA from 1 species